ensembl:lncRNA
GUAACAGGGAAUAAGGCAUCUGUUUAAGUCCAAAACCUUAGAACCCUUUACUAUAUAAAAUCUGUCUAAUAUUUGAUGUGUGAUCUGAUUCCUCCUUCUUUUUAAGCUGCUAUUACUGUGACACAGUAGAGGCCCAGAUUCACAUUUACAGAAGUUCUGAACUGACUGAGAUUUCAAUUGACCCUUGUUACAGCAUUUGCGGUCCAAGAAAAGGGUACGGACGCUUCUCCUGAACGCGAAUUUCCUCUAGGUUGUCAGGUGCUUUCUUGUUUUCAGUACAUCAUUGCACUUCAAUUGUGCUCUGUCAGUAGACACCACAAGAAGGAAGAAAGUUCAGAAUUGUCACUGCUGUUCAGAUGGAAGCUGAAAUCUUCAUGUUACCACUGGUCUUCAUCCACUGAGGCUGAUAGUGAAAUACCAAGUGUUGGAAGAUUCCUGGUAAAGUUUUACACGAUGGCAAAAGGACAUCAGAAGCAUCAGAAGACUGUUGGGAAGAUCCCAG